CCCUUAGAUGUUCUGGGCCGCACGCGCGCUACACUGAUGCAUUCAACGAGCCUAUCCUUGACCGACAGGUCCGGGUAAUCUUUGAAUCUGCAUCGUGACGGGGAUAGAUUAUUGCAAUUAUUAAUCUUCAACGAGGAAUGCCUAGUAGGCGCAAGUCAUCAGCUUGCGUCGAUUACGUCCCUGCCCUUUGUACACACCGCCCGUCGCUCCUACCGAUUGGGUGUGCUGGUGAAAUGUUCGGAUCGGCCGUUUGUCGCGGUUUCCGCGGCUCGUGGCUGAGAAGUUCAAUAAACCCUCCCACCUAGAGGAAGGAGAAGUCGUAACA
rnacentral:rRNA from 1 species